GACGAACGCUGGCGGCGUGCUUAACACAUGCAAGUCGAACGGAAAGGCCCUGCUUUUGUGGUGUGCUCGAGUGGCGAACGGGUGAGUAACACGUGUGUAACCUGCCCUUGACUUUGGGAUAACUUCAGGAAACUGGGGCUAAUACCGGAUAGGAGCUCCUGCUGCAUGGUGGGGGUUGGAAUGUUUCGGCGGUUGGGGAUGGACUCGCGGCUUAUCAGCUUGUUGGUGGGGUAGUGGCUUACCAAGGCUUUGACGGGUAGCCGGCCUGAGAGGGUGACCGGCCACAUUAGGACUGAGAGACGGCCCAGACUGCUACGGGAGGCAGCGGUGGGGAAUAUUGCACAAUGGGCGGAAGCCUGAUGCAGCAACGCCGCGUGCGGGAUGACGGCCUUCGGGUUGUAAACCGCGUUCGCCUGAGACGAAGCGUGAGUGACGGUAAUGGGUAAAGAAGCACCGGCUAACUACGUG
rnacentral:rRNA from 1 species